AGCCAGAGGAAACUCUGGUGGAAG
rnacentral:snRNA from 1 species